AAUUAGGGGCCAGUCACACCAAAAGCGCUUUAAACGCUUGCAAACACAAGGCGCGACGCACUGCCUUUUUUAAAAAAGAGCAGUGCGACGCGGCUUUUCAUAUUGCUAAGCAACCACCGAGUCAGCUGCACUGUUAACGAUUUCUGUAAAUUACACUGUAUUUUACUGUAAUAUGAACUGUAUUUUACCGUAGGACAUGUUAUACAGUAUGUUGCUGUAUUUUGAUGUUGCAUUGUGGGAAAUGUAAUCUUUGUGCCAGUAAAAUACUGUAUUUUCUAUUUACUGUAAAAUUUACAGUUAAUUAAAAAUACUGUAUUUUAAUGGCAGGUGGUGCUAAUUUGUUUUUUGGGGGAUUAACUCUCUGAUUAAGGUUUGGUGUCAUUGCAUAGUUAAGCCUAAAGGGGAUGUUGAGUUAAUGUUGAGUGUCAAGCCUUACAAUCCAAUAUAGAAAGCUAUCUUAUACAAAUAAUGUAAUAUUAUUGUAUUUAUAUAUUGAUUUAAAAUGUAAAGUAAAAUUCAGAAGACUUAAACAAAGUCCUAAAAACAAUCAAACAACUAAAUUAGUGCAAGUAGAGCUGAUUUAUUUAUCAAAACACAAUAUAAUCAUCUUCAUUAAAGCUUUGUAUAUUCCAAUUAAUUUACAAAUGUAAGUGUUUAAAAAUUAGAGAUAGGUUUUGCCGGCUGUUGAUGAGUGAUGAAUACCAGCUGUGAAUUUUCUCAACGCGUGUAAGCAGCCAUGACACAGGAAACCGAAACAGUGUUCCAAUAUAAAGUGAGGGUCCUUGACAGUGGCCGAACCCGCAUACUACACGAUAUAAUGGUUCCCCACCUCGGGAGCUAUAGGGAACGAAUUGAGACACAGCCCUGGAUGUAAUCACGUCUGUGCUGAUCACGUGCCUGUACACAAACCCGCAGCUCACUUGCAAAAGAUUAUCCUGUUAUUUAUUACACGUAUAGUAAACGUUUUUAAUGUUAUCAUGAAUCAAUGUUAUAGUUUUGUAUGUCACAUUAUUUUUUGAGAAGAGUCAUGACUCAACGCGGACCUUACACGCUGUUAAUUUGUGUGUGCGUAUGGCGGUACAGUGCGCUCUUUUGCACUCUAUGACCAGCCAUCAGUAAAUCGAAAUACAGUAAAAAAAUGAGCGCGAAACCCUGACACUUUACAGAAAGGCACGGAUAUCCCCGCCCGAAGAAAAAAAGAACACAGGACAAUGGUUGCAAGUUAAACAGCUGAACAUUUCACCAUCUGCAAAGAACAUUUCACCAUCGACAUAUUAACAUAAACGGUUCUCUUUUUCGUUUUUGACUGCGUUUGGUACAGGUGAGUGUUCAUCUGAAAUGCUAGGCGACAAACUGAGCUUUUAACGCUAUUUUGAAGUCAGUCUCUCAGUUUCUCUCUAACAUUAUGUAAUGAAUAAUUGACGAUGGGUCAUUGAAUUAAAUUGAUAUAACUGCCAGUAAGAAAAAGUGUGUGUGUGUGUGUGCGCGCGCGCGCGCGUGUGUGUGUGCGCGCGUGUGUGUGUGUGUGUGAGUGUGUGCGUGUGCAGGUCACAACAACAACGGCAGAUGCAGAGACCACGCUUUCCCUUGCUUCCACUCCACGGCUGAUCAUGCUUGAUGAUCCAGAUCUACAAAACAAAAAAUGGAUGCUGCCGAUUGAAGGCUAAGUCCGCUUUCCUGCGAUUGACCUACCAUUUCUUCAGCAUUUGCUGUUCACUUUGGUUGCUACUACGUGCGUAAACAUCGAGUACCAAGUGGAAGCAGCCACUACUUUGGAGUUUAUUCAGAGAUUUAUUGUGAGGAUCAGCCCCGACAACAGCAAGUGCUCCUCUAAGUUCCAGGUGAGCAAAAGAAGUGGGAAGAUGGUGCAAAGGAAGAACUCUGGCCUGAACCAUCAUGUAUAUAUCCACCUUUAUUAAGGACUUUAUGAAUUAAGCAAAACUAUUAAGCUACUAAAGCAAAUACAUUCUACUCAACUCACCAGAGGUUUGUGAAGUUCUUUUUUUUAUCUUAAAGGUUUCUUUUAGUUAAUUUGUCCAUGCACUGAUUUAUAAUAUUGUAAUAUGAAACUCCAGUGUAUACAUGUUACUACUGUUGCUUCUAAAAGCAAAAUAAGUCUAUGCAGGAGAGGUUUUGUUACGUUUUUUUUUUAAAUUAUUCUUAUAGACGGUUUCAUCGGACGCACAUGAUACACGUCUGGAUCCGAACCUUACUUCCGGUUUCGCUUUUUUAAUGGUCUGACUAGUUGCUAAACUGAUCUUUUGAACAAAAGCCUCGUCGAAAAUAACAAAUGUUUUGGUUUCCGAGCUAAUCUAUGUGUUGUUUUUUUGCUUGUUAUAUAAAUAAAAUACGUUUAAAGAACUUUGUUGUUUUUUAUUCUUAGCGUAGUUUAUCGGAAGUUAAUGCGGACCGCGACAGCCGCUUGUUUAUGUUGUUACUGCUGAAACCGUCUAUAGUUAUAACUGAAUUUGUACUAGUAUUAUUUGAUAAUACCGUGAAAUGAAACGGUGAGUAAAUGUUACAUUGGCUUUGAAAAAGCUGUUGCUGCAAGAAAUUACAAUUUACUCAGAAUAAUAUUUUGAAUGUAUAAGUUUUUGACAUUGCUUAUGACUGCAUUUGAAUGUAUUGUUCAUGAAUUGAUGCUGUGAUAUGUGUGUGUAAAUGUUUUGUGUGUUACAGGAUAAAAGAUUUGCUAUAAGCAAAUCUAUUUUACUCAGGAAAGUAUUUUGUAUUUGAACAUUGUUAUUAUGACUGAGUUAGUUCAUGACUUGAUUUAAAAUUCUGUAAUAUGAUAUCUAUGAGUAAAUGUUAUUGCAGGUUUAAGAAAAACAGUUUGUGAUGCAAGCUGAAAGUUCAAUGUGCAAAAAUAUGAAAAUCUGAUUUCAUGUAUUUGAAAAACUAAAAGAAAUUUUAAAAACAUGUUGUCAUUGCUUAUUUUUGUUAUUUACUUAGAGCUGUUUUAACACCUCCAUUUAAAUUUUGUGCAGUUUUGUAGUAAAUAGAAAUGGGAAAAUGAAUCACAGGAAAUUUUACGGUAAAAUACACAU